AACGAACACUGGCGGCAGGCUUAACACAUGCAAGUCGAGCGCCCCGCAAGGGGAGCGGCAGACGGGUGAGUAACGCGUGGGAACCUACCUGAAGGUACGGAACAACUCCGGGAAACUGGAGCUAAUACCGUAUGUGCCCGAAAGGGGAAAGAUUUAUCGCCUUCAGAUGGGCCCGCGUCAGAUUAGCUAGUUGGUGGGGUAAUGGCCCACCAAGGCGACGAUCUGUAGCUGGUCUGAGAGGAUGAUCAGCCACACUGGGACUGAGACACGGCCCAGACUCCGACGGGAGGCAGCAGUGGGGAAUAUUGGACAAUGGGCGCAAGCCUGAUCCAGCCAUGCCGCGUGAGUGAUGACGGCCUUAGGGUUGUAAAGCUCUUUCGACGGGGACGAUAAUGACGGUACCCGUAGAAGAAGCCCCGGCUAACUUCGUGCCAGCCGCCGCUGUAAUAC
rnacentral:rRNA from 1 species